rnacentral:rRNA from 1 species
AUUAGAUACCCUGGUAGUCCACGCCGUAAACGAUGAUUACUAGGUGUAGGUGGGUAUGGACCCAUCGGUGCCGCAGCCAACGCAGUAAGUAAUCCACCUGGGGAGUACGUUCGCAAGAAUGAAACUCAAAGGAAUUGACGGGGACCCGCACAAGCGGUGGAGCAUGUGGUUUAAUCCGAAGCAACGCGAAGAACCUUACCAAGUCUUGACAUCUGGAUGACGAAUCCGUAACGGGAUUUUCUCUUCGGAGCAUCCAAGACAGGUGGUGCAUGGUUGUCGUCAGCUCGUGUCGUGAGAUGUUGGGUUAAGUCCCGCAACGAGCGCAACCCUUAUCUUUAGUAGCCAGCAGGUAAAGCUGGGCACUCUAGAGAGACUGCCGGGGAUAACCCGGAGGAAGGUGGGGAUGACGUCAAAUCAUCAUGCCCCUUAUGAUUUGGGCUACACACGUGCUACAAUGGCGUAAACAGAGGGAAGCGAGCCUGCGAGGGGGAGCGAAUCCCAAGAAUAACGUCCCAGUUCGGAUUGUAGUCUGCAACCCGACUACAUGAAGCUGGAAUCGCUAGUAAUCGCGGAUCAGAAUGCCGCGGUGAAUACGUUCCCGGGUCUUGUACACACCGCCCGUCACACCAUGGGAGUCGGAAAUGCCCGAAGUCUGUGACCCAACCUUAGGGAGGGAGCAGCCGAAGGCAGGUCGGAUGACUGGGGUGAAGUCGUAACAAGGUACC